rnacentral:tRNA from 1 species
CCCUGGGUAGCUCAGUUGGUAGAGCACUCCACUGGAAAUGGAGAGGUCCCGGGUUCGAUACCCGGGCCAGGCG